rnacentral:snoRNA from 1 species
ACUCUCUUGUAUAAGCACCAUGCUAAGAUUGCAGAAACACAUCUGUAAAGACUAGGGUGGACCACCUCAUUCUUAAUGUCCAGUGUCCUUUGUCUUAAGAUUUGGUGUGAUAUGU